rnacentral:lncRNA from 1 species
AGAGCUGGAGCCGGAGCCGGGCGGGCGCCAUGGAGGGGCUGCGGCGGGGGCUGUCGCGCUGGAAGCGCUACCACAUCAAGGUGCACCUGGCGGACGAGGCGCUGCUGCUACCGCUGACCGUGCGGCCGCGGGACACGCUCAGCGACCUGCGCGCCCAGCUGGUGGGCCAGGGCGUGAGCUCCUGGAAGCGCGCCUUCUACUACAACGCGCGGCGGCUGGACGACCACCAGACGGUGCGCGACGCGCGCCUGCAGGACGGCUCGGUGCUGCUGCUCGUCAGCGACCCCAGCGAGGCGCAGCGGCUCACACCCGCAAUCCCAGCACUUUGGGAGGCUGAGGCAAGCAGAUCACUUGAGUCCAGGAGUUCAAGACCAGCCUGGCCAACAUGGUGAAACCCCAUCUCUACUAAAACUACAAAAAUUAGCCGGGCAUGAUGGCGCAUGCCUGUAAUCCCAGCUACUGGGGAGGCUGAGGCAAGAGAAUCGCUUGAGUCUGGGAGGCGGAGGUUGCAGUGAGCUGAGAUCGUGCCAUUACACUCUAGUCUGGGUGACAGGGUGAAACUCCGUCUCUAAAGAAAUAAAUAAUAAAAUUUUAUUUCACGCCAUCCCUGCUUUCUCUCUUUCCCCAUCACUUGUCAGCAGCCGACUUCUCUACGUUUUACUUAUUUUUUUCACCUGUCUCCUGCAGUAGACUGUAAACUCUGUGAGGGUACUGCCGUCCAUCUUGUUCCCUGCUGGAUUGCCAGUUCAGUGCCUGGCACAUAGUAGGUGCUUAAUAAAUGUUAGUGAGAUGUAUUGUCUCACUAACAUAAUCGUGAGCAGAGGCAAGGAUUGGGCUGCUCAGAAUAUUUUUCUGGAGCUCUAGCGGUGCCUGGAUGCAGGGGAGGGAAUUUCUGGGUCAGAGGUGAGCCCUGGCAGGGGCAGGAAGAGGCACCAGCCAGACAGUGGGCAGAAUAGGGAAGCCUUGAACGCCAAGGCAAGGGCUAUGUUUUUUCUGCAACCUGUGUCUUUCUGUCUCCCUCUUUCAGGUAGUCUGGGUUGGAGGAGGCAGAGCCAUGACCAAGGGGACCUGGGUACUGGCUGAAGGAAUAGGCUGGGGUAGAGGGCACUUUUGGAAGGCACUUCUCCUGCCUCCCGGGAGCCUAGAUCUCACUCCAGGGUCUGGGCUCCCAGGUGGACCAUGAAACCCUGGCCUGACCAGCUGAUGCACACUGCUUCAGACACUCCUGCUGGAGCCCCAGUCCCUGACAAGGACCUAGGACAUUUUUGCUCCUGCCCAGCCUAUCGGGAGGGAGCCUUGAGCCUUUCAGCUCUGCUGUGUGACUUUGAGGUUGUUGCUCCCCUCUUGGGGCCCUGGGUGCCCUGUCUUCAGUGGAAAGCACUGUGCCACCUUGGAAAGCUCCCAUGGGCAGCCAGAGGGCAUCGCAAGAAGAGAAGCACAGAAGGGGCAGGAGAGACACUCAGAGGCACUUCCGCUCUUGCCCAGGACAUUUUCCCAGCCACACCUUUGCCCAAGCCGUGCCCCCUGCCUGGAGCACUUUUCAACCUCUUCUCUGCAGCUCCAAUACACCUGGGAUUGCAGUCUCCUCCAGGAAGUCUUCUCAGAUUCCCUCCUUCCCAGCCAGAGAGCACCUAGCCUUCUUUGGGGCCCCCACAGGCCCUUUGUGCAGUGAACAGCCCUGGCUGGGGGUGCAGCCAGUCGUGUCCGAACUCUCCAAUGACUAAGCGGGGAGAUGCGGACAUCCUAGCUCCUUCUCAGGCCUCCAACUGUGCCCCAUUUCCACCCCCAAAUACCUCCCCAGGAGGCACCUGUGCCCACCCCCUGGGCUGUUUCCCCCUUCCCCUUAAAUCCGGAUGCCUCGUCUUGCAUAGGGUCUUGGGGCAGCGGGGAAGGGGUUCUGAAGAACUCUGGCCAAGAGGACGAGGAUCUGGGGGUGGGGAACUGGGCCUAGCUGUGGGAGGUCAUCGCGGGGCAUUGCAGGGAGUGCGUUGUGGGAAUUCCGGGUGGAGACCCUCAGGGCAGUGUGCCGGGCCUCCGUUGCACCUCUGACCUGCAGCCACGUCAUCGUUGCGCAGCCCCUGGGGAGGGUCUUUGGGGAGGGGGUGCCGAGGCUACGCAUGUCCUCGAGGGCCGUGUACACUCUCCAGGCACCAUGGGCGGAGGCGCCAGAGGCUGGGAAGAAAUAAUGUUUUAGUUAAGAGUCCUGUUGGCUGCAGGACUCAGAGCAUGGACAGGUGGAUAGUAAAUCACCACCACGGGGACAGCCGUGCCCAGACUGUGCGUUUGCUUAGCUCGGGGACAGCACUUGGCCCGGGGUCUCCUGCUCGCCUCCCUUCAGAGCAUCUGCCAAACUUCGGGCAUCUACCCUGCAAUUCCCGCUUGGCUGAGAGGAGGGGGAGAAGGAGGGGAAGAGAGAGGAGCCCCACUUCACUCCGGCAGGCAGACCUGCUGGAGCUGCUUUGCAGAAUGACUUGGGUCUUGCUGGCCCCUGGGUGUGCCUGGAGGGGGGUCUUCCUAUCCCCCUCCACCUCUCCCCUUGGUGCCUAACCCAGGACUUUGUCCCCAGAGACCCACUGUGUGCCCCCUGGAGCUCCUCCUAGAGCAGAGUCUGCUGCUGUCUGUUCUGCAGAGGGUAGCCUGAGGCCCAAGGAGGUUGUCAGGGACACACAGCAGGGGGAGGCAGCCCAGAUCCCUGCUCAUGCGUGGUUUGGGCCUCUGCUAACAGCUGGGCCACAUGCGUGUAUCUAGAGCCUGGGUCCCCUCUGUCCUCAUUUCCCUGUGCAUAUUCAGGGACAUGCCUCGUCAGGGUUUGGCAAGAAAAUGGGGCAUUUAAUAAUCUCCCCAGUUUCAUUCCUUGGUCCUUACUCCAUGCCAGGACUUGUGCACAUCUUUUUGGAGCCCUGUCUCACUUGAUUGACAGCCGGCCAGGCGCGGUGGCUCACGCCUGUAAUCCCAGCACUUUGGGAGGACGAGGCAGGCGGAUCAUGAGGUCAGGAGAUGGAGACCAUCCUGGCUAACACGGUGAAACCCCGUCUCUACUAAAAGUACAAAAAAAAUAGCCGGGCCUGGUGGCGGGCGCCUGUAGUCCCAGCUACUUGGUAGGCUGAGGCAGGAGAAUGGCGGGAACCCGGGAGGCAGAGGUUGCAGUGAGCUGAGAUCACGCCACUGCACUCCAGCCUGGGCGACAGAGCGAGACUCCGUCUCAAAAAAAAAAAAAAAAAAGAUUGACAGCCUCACUGCUCAGGGGCCAGGAUAACAGCCCAUUUUACAGAUGGCUUUUGGCUUGCCCAAGGUCACCACCCUCUGAACUGAGGCGUCCCCAACCCAUGCCGGGAGCUGGUGGAGGAAGUGGGGAAGGGUUUCCCGCUUCUCCACUGGGGGUGGAGGUGGGAGAAAGCAUUUUCAGGGUGUUUUGACAUUUAACAAACAGUAUGCAAAUCACAUGCAAAUCGCAUGCAAAUCACCACCCAUUUCUUAAGCCUCGACAGCGCUGGCAUGUUCUGAAAUAAUAAUGUUGGACCUGUCCCUUGAUGAUGACCUGGGUCGGGAGGUGCACGGCCUUUUCCUUCCUCCGUCUUCCCUUCCCUUCCCUUCCCUUCCCAUCUGUUCUCCCUUCCUUCGCCCCCUUCCUUUCCUCUCCCUCCCUAUCUUCCAUUUUUCUCUUCUUCCUUCACAUCAUUUGUCCAAGACCUCCCUGGCCUGAGAUAAACAUAAGUUGCAAAAGUGGCUUCCUGCAGCCCAUUUUCCAGGUUGGGAAACUGAGGCAUGGGCCUAAGGUCCCACAGCCACACCGAGGAAAGCAGCCCCCACUGAAUGUCACCAUGCACCAAAGUGCAUGGUCCUCGUGACACAAAGAGGGGAGAUGACAGUGGCUGGAGUUGUCAGAGCUGCUUUGAGGAAGCUCCAGGCCUGAUAGGCUUGACAGGGCCAAGGGGAACUAUUGUGGAAUGUCUUGGCCUUGAAUGACAGGCUGCUGAUUUUGGAUCUGGAGAAAGCUCACACUGACUCUUCCUGCUCCCCCAGUCUGUUUUUCUCCUGCUACUCCAUCCAUGUAUCCCUGAGUUUGGGCCACAGUCCCUCCACUUGGUUUGCAUGUCCCACCUUCUUUGUUUGGCAAGCUCCUAUUCAUCCUUCAAAGCCCUAGCUUCAAUACCUGCUACUUCAUGCAGCCAUUGCUUAUCCUUCAAGGAGAGCCUACUUCCCUCAAGGACCCUGCUGCUUCCAGUCUCACCUUCUGACUCACUCGGGAUCCACUGAACUGGGAGGUCUGUGUCUCCUCCCAGCAGAGUCAUCACUACCUUUGGGGCCGCAGGAUCACCCAGCUUGGAACUAGAUACAGAAAUGCUGUUUUGAGAGUGUACUGAAUAAAAGAUUACAUGUUUGAAAACAAGAUUGAGUUUAAGCUUCCUAACUUGGCCUUG